rnacentral:lncRNA from 1 species
CUAUAUUUAUCUGUAUUACACAUCCACUGAUAGGUGCCUAGGCUGGCUCUUUGUAUCUCGACCAUCAUGAGCAGUGCUGCAGCACUCACAGGAGAACAUGGGUGCCUCUGGUCUACUCAGCGUGGGGAAUGCCAGGCGCUGGUAGCUCCGUGUCUUGUCUUCUGAGCUACAAAUAAUCUGCUUUCAGAAGGAAGCAUUAACUAACAUGUAAUCUGACAGAGGGCACACAGAUACAGGUAUCCACGCAGCAAUGGCCUAGUUACUGCCCCAGGACACCCAGAGAAGACCUAGAGUCCGGAUACCAGUUUUUUGAGGAUGAAAACAAGAAGAACACGCUUCUAUACUACUAAGAAAGCUGCCUCAAGGAGGCUUUGCUGGACAGUGAGGAAGAAGGGUAUGGCUGAUUUUACCAGGCAGCAGAGAACACCCAUGUAAACAAAGGCUGUGUUGCUAUAGAACCAAUUCUGCAUUAGAAUUUGGCUACCUAGAUAUGACAAUGGGACAAGGACACAGGGAAGCCACAGAUAGUCAUUCUAGGGAGCUUGAGCAACACACCUGUUGCAUCUCUGUUUCCACAUCUGACUGGGUUACUAACUGAAGGAGCUCAUCUUCAUGGAGACGAACCUGUGUUUCAAAGCGGGCGUCUUUCUCUCGGACCACCUGCUGCAUGGAACUCAACUGAAGACACACACCAGAGAAACUACACAAGUUACUCUCCAGAGCAUUUCACAGACGACUCUUACAGCCUACUCUGCAACGACAGGCACUCAGCACGGACAGAGAGCAGCUUCCUAAACCUCAGCUCUGAAUGGCAAGGGCGAGGAUGUUGGGAGAGCAAGAAGCCCAGCAGCAACUUUCAGACACGAGAGAACGUCUGCUCUCAGACUCAGAAUCAACUCAUAGUGUGACAUCCAACUGCCAUGCUUUCAUCUACCAAGCUCUGAAAGUGACUGCUGGGACUGACGUGCCACAUUUAACACUCUGGAUCUCAUGAAUCUAGUGAAGGUGCCACCGUCCUACCUGGGCAGCUUGCUCUGCCUGUGUCUGGCUGAGCUGUGUUUGCAAAGUGCUGAUGAGUUCUUCCUUUUCUUGGAGCUGCUGCUUCAUCAGGACAAAGUCUUCCAUCUCUGCAGAACUCUUAUCCAACUGAAAGGGGGAAUAUUCACUUAAGCAAAGCACUUGGAUGUCUUAUUUGUUUGACUUUCUCAUCUAUCUUGAAUACCUACCCUACUCCCUUCUAAUUUAUACUUUGCGACAAAAAAGAAUUCCACAUGCUAAUUUUUAAAAUAUUAUUGAAUUCCUAAAAUUUGUCAGAAGAAGACAGAAGCAAUAGCAACAGUGAUUUCAGUAUCUUUGAAUGGUCACAUAGGAAAGAGACAGACCAACUAGACAGCGAACAUAAAAACGUGGGCAAUGUUGACAACAAAAGCAGGAAAGUAGGGAGAUGCUCUAUAAACAAGUUGAGAGCAAACUAUGGAAAUCUGAGUUUGCUUGGCAUUAGAGACUGUAUGAGAGAAAGGGGACAGUGACAGAGCUACAUCUGAUGGCCUCGGGAACAGGAAAAAUCCAAAGCAGCAAACAAAUAUUUGUUGGAACCCACAGCAGCCAGUAUCAGAAGAGCAGCAGCACUUCUUUGGCCAUGGCUAAAUGCAGGACUUCUAGAGGAAGAAAUAUGAAGAGGGUGGGGCUAAUCUAGGCCCUCUGAUAUCUCAAGCCUGAGCCACAGGCGCUACUGUUAGAGACAGAUAUUGAAAUACACUUAGAAAAACUUGUGAGGAGUGACAUCAAGAUAAAGAGGACCAGAGAUGUAGCCACUGGGGGAGGCUGUCUGCCCUGCACGGUCAAGGCUGUGGGUUCUAGCUCCAGCACUAGGGACAAUAGCUGAGUACAGUGGCGUGUGCCUGAAAUUUCAAAACCAGAGGGCUGAGACAGAAAAACAGAGUUCAAGACAGGCCUGGGCUACAUAGUGAGACCCAGCUCAAAACAGAAAGCAGAAUAGAGGUAAUAUAGAGAAAAAAGAAACCUGUAUGAAUAUGCUGCAUAAUUUGGUAUCAACAAACCACAUGAGGCUAGAGAAGUCUUACAAUGUGAUUCCUCCAAAAGUAACUCAUUUUAAUAAUAUUGCUUAACUAAAAUUUAAAGUUGAAUUAUAAAUUAAUUUUUAUUAGAUAACAGUUUCGUUUAGGUGUGAUGACAGAAUUUUAUCUGUUAUAUCAGAUGAGAUUAAAAAAAGAUUGGAGUUAUGUUCCCAAGGAGGGAGACGAGGACAGGGACUGCGGUCCUAACAGGCUGAGCAGACAUCAGAGCUUCCUAGGCUCAUCUAGCCGUGGUCAUCCCCACAGCUCUCUGGCUGACAAGCUUCAGCAGAGGAUCACUGAUAGAGUUACGAUUCUUUUUGUUGAUAGGGUAUGCUCUAUAGCCCAGAAUGGCCUUCAACUCACACUACUUCCUUGGUCUCCCAAAUGCUGUGACUAUAGGCCUGCGAUGUUGGUUUCUUUGGCAUAUUGCUAAUAUAACAUGCUAACUUCAGAGAACACUGGGAAAAAACUAGGAACUACAUAUCAUCUUUGAAAACUUUUUAACUUAAAUCUAUAAUUAUCUAAUAGUUUUAUUUGUCUUCAAAGAAACAAAGUGUUAAGCAGAACGAAAGCGAGGACAAUCUUUACAAAGCAACCUGGAUUGGGUUCUCUGAAGAUCAGCUAAGGGAGAGCAGAGAAUGCUUACCCGACACUUUAAACACAGAUCUGACACUGUGUAGUGAAAAAGCCCACCAUGUACUGGAGAAUAUCAAUCCCAAAUCACCAAUCAUAUUGUUCAGUAAAAUUAUAGGAUUUAAAUACUCACUCCUUUCAUAUCAAAAGAUUGCAUGCCUAGUAAGGCAAAGAAAUAAGAUGACCACAAAACUGUUUUUGCAGCAAUACCUGGGCCAGAAAAGCUACAGAUUUAAAAUACUCAACAAAAGGUGAGCCAAAGACUUAAUUUCCAGCAAAAAUGAGCACCACAUAUAAAGAGCACAGAUGAUUUCCUUCACAGAAGCAGGAAAAUCCAUAGAGCAUUUUCCAUAAAGUCCUGAAGACUCCAUGGAAGAAAUGUAAAGAAACUAUAAUGUAGAAAGAAAUCUUCAUGAAGACUGGUGGUGAAUACUAACCAUACAGUUGGUGCAGCCCAAGGUCAGGGUUGGGGGGCAGGAUAUGGUAACUGUGUGUUAAGAACAUAUAAGACAACUAUGGCUAUUAGGAAGAAUGUAAAUAUAAAUAAAAAUAACAAAAACUCUUGUAAAGUUGUUUUAAACUAUCAGAUUGGUAGCAUGAGUGUUAUUAUUCCUAGAUUAUUAUAUGUGGAAUCCAGAAUUAAAGGACAUAAGUAUUUAAGGACAGAUUAAUUCUAUCAAACCUUUAGUAUAAGAAAAGAGGACAGAGAUGUAUUACAGAAGAAAUAUAUAACCCACUUCAAACUGAUCUUAAAUCUGACUUGGGAACAUUAGUUUAAGUUUGUGAGGCAUUUACCUUAUAUUUUAUCUUUAUGUUUCCCCAUCUGUCCACUAAAAAAAUGAGUUUAGUAACAACUCAGUGCCUACAUGGCAGUCUUGUUACAAAGGCAAGUGUCUAAUGAGAAUGCUUCCCAUAACUGGCUAAUUUCAGUCCCAUAAAGUAGGAGAUAUAAAAUCACACAGGCAUCGUAACCUGCAAGCUAGCAAGAAGCAAGCAGAGACAAUUACAAUUAUGUCAAGAGGACCCAGGAACAAGUUCCUACUGGCUAAACAGAAGGCCUGAAUUAGCAUAAGAUAAAAUUGCAAUAGACCAAAACCUAUAAAUUUAAAUCUGAGAGAAUGUAAUAACCAGCUAGUUAUCUCAUCUGAAUCAAUGAAUGUGGAAAACAGAUAAGGGAUUAUCUUGCCUUUCCCACUAGAACUUUAUCUCCUAAGAAGAAUGAGCACAGGUCCCAGUGAGAGACCUUGUCUCAAAUAAACAAGGGUGGAGGGCUCCUGAGGACACCCAAGGCUGACCUCUGACCUAAACACACACACACACACACACACACACACACACACACACACACACACACACACACAGAGUGUGUGCACCACCUCCCCACGCCUCAACAAAUUAUUCUGAAAAGACAACUACUCUAACAUUUGAAAAGCCUAAUGAAUAUAUGUAUCUAGAUACUGAUCAGUCAACAGCUGCUAAGAGAGCAAAGCCCAGACAUUAUGACUUUCAUGGUGAAAGAACCUAACCACCUUCUACAGUGUUGACUAAGGAUGAAAACUCAGAUCACGCCAGCCAUCCUGUUGCCGUCUGCAGAAAAUGCGGAGGACAGAGGAACACUAUGAACUACCAGACACUGUCCAACUCCACGGGACCUAUGGUCAAUACACAAGUGAAAGGGGAAAGACAGGAGAUGUAUCAAGCUUUAAAAGGGCAAGGUUCCCAUCUGGAUAAUAAAACUACAAGGAAAC